rnacentral:lncRNA from 1 species
GAUCGCGUAUGUGUGUUAGCUAGGGAUGUUGAUGGACAAGGUACCUCUUAAUUUUCUUAAUUUUGUUUUAUCCAAAUCCAAGCUAGAUUGAAUUUUAGGAUCUUGUGGUUUUGUGUAUGUUGUAAAGAACAUUAGGAAAAGUGCUUAGUUGUGUUAUUUUACUUAAUUCUGAUCACUUAAUUACUUAUAGGGGAGUGAUUAAACAUCAUGCUGGGACAGGUUGUUGGGACCCUAAUUUGUUUUGCUUGGGUUUUUUUGGGUAAAGGAUAGAGAGCUAUUCCACAAUCUUUUCUAAGGUCAUGUAAGCAUAUGAGUAUCUGCCACUGUAACACUGAGUGGUGGAUGGAUAUGGAAUUGUAUAGAUAUGAUGC